CUACUGUCAUUUCGUCUUGUUAUGCGUUUGGUCCAGGUACGUGCAUCUCUGUGGUUUUGCCACGUGAUGCUAAUUUUCUAUGUAUUUCACAAUGUUGAGUUGUAUGGAUCUUAUGGCAACUGAUCCAUGCUGAAGCGUAACUUGCCAUAUUGUCUGGGUAUUCUUCUAACAGUGUGUUUUUUUUGUGAAAUGUAGAAGGAGGAUGUUUCAUGCCUUUCCUGAGUUGCAAUCUGGACUUGUGCAGGCGUGACUGCAACGGUUUACUUGCCUCUUGCCAAAUGAUAGGCGAGUUUCACCACCGAUGUUGUUGCGCUCCCAAGAAACUCAAUGCAUCUACUGAUAAGAAUAGUCGUCCUUGAGAUAUGCAUUCCGAUAUUAUAGUUUAUAGGUCACUGCUUUUUCCUGGAUCCAAUUCUGCCCGAUUGAAUAAAAUUUAUCACCAUUGAAAAAAUGUUGCUCCCGAGAUAUUUAUGUAUUGUGUGAAGCCGUAAUGCUUCGUUUGGAUGUUCAUAUUCAGACCUCAACAUUGAUAUUGGGGCCAAUAUCAAUUGAACUUGGACAUUGAUAUUGACAUUUAAGACAAAUUUUGCUGUUUGGAUGUUGAUAUAUUUGACACUUCAACAUUGACAAUGAGACCAAGUUACACUUCAACAUUCCAAAAGAGAGCAUUGCAACCCACAAAAUUUCAGAAGAACGACAUAACAUAGAGAAGGAAAAAAGGCCGUCAAGACAAUAUUCAAGAAGAACACAAGUGCCCAGUGCUUGUUGGCUCUUGUGCUCAUCGCUACUGUCAUUUCAUCUUGCGAUGCGUUUGGCCCAGGUACGUGCAUCUCUGACCUAACUAUAAGUCACUGUGGUUUUGCCAUGUGAUGCUAAUUUUCUAUAUAGUUCACAAUAUUGAGUUGUAUGGAUCUUAUGGCAUCUGGUCCAUGCUGAAGCGUACCUUGCCAUGUUGUCUGGCUAUUCUUCUAACAAUGUAUUUUUUUUGUUUGUGAACAUGUAGAAGGAGGAUGUUUCAUGCCUUUCAUGAGUUGCGAUCUGGACUUGUGCAGGCGUGACUGCAACGGUUUAUCUGCCUCUUGCCAAAUGAUAGGCGAGUUUCACCACCGAUGUUGUUGCGCUCCCAAGAAACUCAGUGCAUCUAUUGAUAAGAAUAGUCAUCCUUGAGAUAUGCAUUCCGAAAUUGUAGUUUAUAUGUCACUGCUUUUUCCUGGAUCCAAUUCUGCCUGAUUGAAUAAAAUUUAUCACCAUUGAAAAAAUAUCACUCCCGAGAUAUUUACGUAUCGUGUGAAACCGUAAUGCUUCGUUUGGAUGUUCAUAUUCAGACCUCGGCAUUGAUAUUGGGGCCAAUAUC
rnacentral:lncRNA from 1 species